rnacentral:tRNA from 1 species
GGCUUCGUGGCCGUGUGGUUAGUGUCGUUAGGCAAUGAGCGCAUUGUGUCAUGAGGUGUGGGUUCGAUUCCCGCUGCAGCCA